rnacentral:rRNA from 1 species
CACGUAGGGCGCAAGCGUUGUCCGGAAUUAUUGGGCGUAAAGAGCUCGUAGGCGGUCCGUCACGUCCGCUGUGAAAACCCAGGGCUCAACCCUGGGCUUGCAGUGGAUACGGGCAGACUAGAGGUAGGUAGGGGAGAAUGGAAUUCCCGGUGUAGCGGUGAAAUGCGCAGAUAUCGGGAGGAACACCGGUGGCGAAGGCGGUUCUCUGGGCCUUACCUGACGCCGAGGAGCGAAAGCGUGGGGAGCGAACAGG